GACGAACGCUGGCGGCGUGCUUAACACAUGCAAGUCGAACGGAAAGGCCCUGCUUUUGUGGGGUGCUCGAUUGGCGAACGUGUGUGUAACACGUGUGUAACCUGCCCUUUACUUUGGGAUAACUUCAGGUAACUGGGGCUAAUACCGGAUAUGAGCUCCUGCUGCAUGGUGUGGGUUGGAAAGUUUCGGCGGUUGGGGAUGGACUCGCGGCUUAUCAGCUUGUUUGUGGGGUAGUGGCUUACCAAGGGUUUGACGGGUAGCCGGCCUGAGAGGGUGACCGGGGACAAUGGGAGUGAGAUACGGACCAGACGGCAACGGGAGGCAGCAGUGGGGAAUAUUGCACAAUGGGAGGAAGCAGGAUGCAGAAAAGCGGCGUGCGGGAUGAAGGCCUACGGGGUGUAAAACGCUUUAGAAUGUGAAGAAGAGUGAGUGACGGUAAUGGGUAAAGAAGCAACGGCUAACUACGUG
rnacentral:rRNA from 1 species